rnacentral:rRNA from 1 species
CCUACGGGUGGCAGCAGUGAGGAAUAUUGGUCAAUGGGCGCGAGCCUGAACCAGCCACGUAGCGUGAAGGAUGACUGCCUUACGGGUUGUAAACUUCUUUUAUAAAGGAAUAAAGUGAGGCACGUGUGCCUUUUUGUAUGUAUUUUAUGAAUAAGGAUCGGCUAACUUCGUGCCAGCAGCAGCGGUAAUACGGAGGAUCCGAGCGUUAUCCGGAUUUAAUGGGGUUAAAGGGAGCGUAGAUGGGUUGUUAAGUCAGUUGUGAAAGUUUGCGGCUAAACCGUACAAUUGCACUUGAUACUGGCAGCCUUGAGUACAGUUGAGGUAAGCGGAAUUCGUGGUGUAGCGGUGAAAUGCUUAGAUAUCACGAAGAACUCCGAUGGCGAAGGCAGCCUACUAAACUGCCACUGACAUUGAUGCGCGAAAGUGUGGGUAUCAAACAGGAUUAGAUACCCUAGUAGUC